rnacentral:rRNA from 1 species
UACGUAGGGCGCAAGCGUUAUCCGGAAUUAUUGGGCGUAAAGAGCUCGUAGGCGGUUUGUCGCGUCUGCCGUGAAAGUCCGGGGCUCAACUCCGGAUCUGCGGUGGGUACGGGCAGGCUAGAGUGAUGUAGGGGAGACUGGAAUUCCUGGUGUAGCGGUGAAAUGCGCAGAUAUCAGGAGGAACACCGAUGGCGAAGGCAGGUCUCUGGGCAUUAACUGACGCUGAGGAGCGAAAGCAUGGGGAGCGAACAGGAUUAGAUACCCUGGUAGUCCAUGCCGUAAACGUUGGGCACUAGGUGUGGGGGACAUUCCACGUUUUCCGCGCCGUAGCUAACGCAUUAAGUGCCCCGCCUGGGGAGUACGGCCGCAAGGCUAAAACUCAAAG